CCUACGGGUGGCAGCAGUGAGGAAUAUUGGUCAAUGGGCGUAAGCCUGAACCAGCCAAGUCGCGUGAGGGAUGAAGGUUCUAUGGAUCGUAAACCUCUUUUAUCAGGGAAUAAAGUGUGGGACGUGUCCUGUUUUGUAUGUACCUUAUGAAUAAGGAUCGGCUAACUCCGUGCCAGCAGCCGCGGUAAUACGGAGGAUCCGAGCGUUAUCCGGAUUUAUUGGGUUUAAAGGGUGCGCAGGCGGUCUGUUAAGUCAGCGGUCAAAGCCCGGGGCUCAACCCCGGCCCGCCGUUGAAACUGGCAGGCUCGAGUUGGAGAGAAGUAUGCGGAAUGCGCGGUGGAGCGGUGAAAUGCAUAGAAAUCGCGCAGAACUCCGAUUGCGAAGGCAGCAAGCCGGCUCCACACUGACGCUGAGGCACGAAAGCGUGGGUAUCGAACAGGAUUAGAUACCCGUGGAGUC
rnacentral:rRNA from 1 species